rnacentral:rRNA from 1 species
UAGGGAAUCUUCCGCAAUGGACGAAAGUCUGACGGAGCAACGCCGCGUGAGCGAUGAAGGUUUUCGGAUCGUAAAACUCUGUUGUUAGGGAAGAACAAGUUGGGUAGUAACUGACCCAACCUUGACGGUAUCUAACCAGAAAGCUACGGCUAACUACGUGCCAGCAGUCGCGGUAAUACGUAGGUGGCAAGCGUUGUCCGGAAUUAUUGGGCGUAAAGCGCUCGCAGGCGGUCUUUUAAGUCUGAUGUGAAAGCCCACGGCUUAACCGUGGAGGGUCAUUGGAAACUGGAGGACUUGAGUACAGAAGAGGAGAGUGGAAUUCCACGUGUAGCGGUGAAAUGCGUAGAGAUGUGGAGGAACACCAGUGGCGAAGGCGACUCUCUGGUCUGUAACUGACGCUGAGGAGCGAAAGCGUGGGUAGCGAACAGG